rnacentral:rRNA from 1 species
AGAGUUUGAUCCUGGCUCAGAACGAACGCUGGCGGCAGGCUUAACACAUGCAAGUCGAACGCACCUUUCGGGGUGAGUGGCAGACGGGUGAGUAACGCGUGGGAACGUGCCCUUCAGUUCGGAAUAACCCAGGGAAACUUGGGCUAAUACCGGAUACGUGCGAGAGCAGAAAGAUUUAUCGCUGAAGGAUCGGCCCGCGUCUGAUUAGCUAGUUGGUGAGGUAAUGGCUCACCAAGGCGACGAUCAGUAGCUGGUCUGAGAGGAUGAUCAGCCACAUUGGGACUGAGACACGGCCCAAACUCCUACGGGAGGCAGCAGUGGGGAAUAUUGGACAAUGGGCGCAAGCCUGAUCCAGCCAUGCCGCGUGAGUGAUGAAGGCCUUAGGGUUGUAAAGCUCUUUCGGCGGGGACGAUAAUGACGGUACCCGCAGAAGAAGCCCCGGCUAACUUCGUGCCAGCAGCCGCGGUAAUACGAAGGGGGCUAGCGUUGUUCGGAAUCACUGGGCGUAAAGGGCGCGUAGGCGGCUUUAUAAGUCGGGGGUGAAAGCCUGUGGCUCAACCACAGAAUUGCCUUCGAUACUGUAUGGCUUGAGACCGGAAGAGGUAAGUGGAACUGCGAGUGUAGAGGUGAAAUUCGUAGAUAUUCGCAAGAACACCAGUGGCGAAGGCGGCUUACUGGUCCGGUUCUGAGCUGAGNNNCGAAAGCGUGGGGAGCAAANNGGAUUAGAUACCCNNGUAGUCC